rnacentral:rRNA from 1 species
AAAAAGCUCGUAGUUGGAUUUCUGCCGAGGACGACCGGUCCGCCCUCUGGGUGAGUAUCUGGCUCGGCCUGGGCAUCUUCUUGGAGAACGUAGCUGCACUUGACUGUGUGGUGCGGUAUCCAGGACAUUUACUUUGAGGAAAUUAGAGUGUUUCAAGCAGGCAUACGCCUUGAAUACAUUAGCAUGGAAUAAUAAGAUAGGACCUCGGUUCUAUUUUGUUGGUUUCUAGAGCUGAGGUAAUGAUUAAUAGGGAUAGUUGGGGGCAUUCGUAUUUAACUGUCAGAGGUGAAAUUCUUGGAU